GACUUCAGGUGAUCCACCAGCCUCAGACUCCCAAAGUGCUGAGAGGACAGGAGUGAGCCACCAUGCCCAGCCUGAUUUCAUCCUUUUAGAUGAACUGCCCUUCUGAAUUUGGGGCCUAUCAUUUUGACCUGAAUCCUGGGGGAGGAGCAGCAGUUUGGAGACAGGUAGGCGUAGGAAGGGGUGUCACCAACAGAAAGGCAGGGUAAAGACCCAGGGGAGUGAGUUUGGGAGGCAGGUGUUGGCAUGGCUGGUAAGCUGGGUACCUGUCGGGGAGGGGCUGGGACAGGUAAGUAGCUGGCCCCACUCUCCUCUGGGCCCUGCCUUCCGUAUUUCCCUCUAUCAUUGUCCUAAUCACACAGAAUCCUAAUGAUCUGUUAGCUUGACUCCAAGAUCCUGAGGGUAGGGAACCUCUUGGUCAUUGUCACCCCAGUGGCUAACACAGUGGCUGGCACAAAUGGCUUUUUGUUAAAUAUUAAAUUGAUACAUGAGCGAAUGAGUAACUGACUGAUUUCAGCCUGCCUGGUGAGGGAGUUGCUGGUAGCAAGACAGUCUGAGUGCAAAGUGUGAACGAGAGCAUUUUUGAAGAGAAUUGUCAUUUUAUUACCAUUCAGUACAGUAACACCUCUGCCUUCAUCAGUGUGGCCUAGUAGAGAACUUGCUUGAAUGCAUAUCAGUCAGGGUGAGAAAUCUGCUGUGCAGGCAGGUGUGCGAUGAUGCGGUAACCAGAUGGGCUUCUUGCAGCUUCAACCACCGCCAGCGUCAUUCACUACCCUUCAAACUAUCAGCUCUGAUUGGAGUUAAAGGAAUAAUCAGUCUCCCACAGAAGUAGGACCUAUUUCUCUUCCUUCAAAACAAUCCUCAAAGCCUGUGAAUCCCCUCCAGUGUGCUUAUUAUGCAGUUAGCUCUGCUCGUGGCUGCAGAGACAGCUCGUUUUGCAUUCCUAGAAGCCCCUCUCAGGGCUGGGCAUGCUUCGGUGGGUUUUGAGUGGUGAGAAGUGCUUUUCUCAGAGGCUGCAUUCCACAUGAGGCCUAAUAAACAGAUAAAACGUGUCUGCAAUUAGUGGCAUCUCUGCACGCAGACUUAAUGUGCUGAAGGCUGUUUGUUGAUUUUUUUGCACUGUUCAAAGCAAUGCCACAAGCUGUUUGGGCCAGACGUUGGCUUAGAGAGCCCCGUCUUCCCAUGAAAAGGACAAUGCAGUGAUACAAAAGAGCCCAAUGGGUUGAGCUACAUCUAU
rnacentral:lncRNA from 1 species